GGAAAUGUAAAGAAGGAGAGGAGUACAUAGGUAACCUUUUCAGAGAGGAACAUUAAAGUUUAUCUUUGCUGGAAGAUGUUCUAAAGAAGUGACUAUGGAAGGUAGCUCUGGAACAGCGUUUUUGAAAAUAGUAGGAAACGACGGGUAGCUUCGUUAAAGGCGAUAAGGUGAUAUGAGAUAUUUCAUAGCAUAAAAAAAGGUGGUACCACGGUUCUUCGUCCUUUCG
rnacentral:ncRNA from 1 species